GACUAAAUAUCUAACCCUACCCCACCAAAACCACCCCCCAACCGCCCAAGUUCAGUCAAACACUCUUAACUCACGUUGAUUUUCAGCCCACACACAACUCACACACACUAACACCUAAAACACACACACCAUUCACGCAUAUACCAUUUUUUAGCUUGAGCUCAAGCUUUUGAGCUCCGAUUUGAGCACCGAGAUGAACGCCGAUCAUCUUUUCGAUCACGUAUCUAAGUAGGUCCUUUUGGGAAGUAACGACUUGAGGGAGAGAGUGACGUUACUCAUUGAUACAGAGACACAACGAGGUUGAGCUGAUGUGAUGAUGGUGCUGCAAUGAGCGGAGUCUCCAGGGUUGUUAAUAAAUAGUUAACCUGUCUAGAAUAUGUCUUCAUACAUAUGUCUAGCUACUUUCCGCUGCAAGAUGUUGUUGAUGUUAUAGUAUGUUAUGUCAUACUUUGAGUCUUAAGAGAAUGGUUUCAUAUGAUGUAUAACUUGAUUAAUGAUAUUAAUUAAGUUUUAUGUUGUCUUUCAUAGACUGUUCAAAAGAGUAUUAAUGAGUAAAUACGACGAUUUUUCUUAAGUUGAGUAA